UUUGUCUUUUAAUUGUGGACUGGAAUGAAGGGUUAGACUAAGUGUUUUUGUCUCACAUUAAUAUGCUGAAAUUUAUAAUUUAGUAAAAAAGCUAAAAUUUUUCUUAAAGACGAGAAGACCCUUUCAAGCUUUACAAUUUUAUUUUAACAUCAAAUUAUAAGAAAAUUUGUUUUACUGGGGCAGUUGAUAAGAUGAUUCUUAUUUCAAAAUUAUGAGUGAUGUGUCUUGAAAAAUCAAGAAAUUUUUAAAUAAAAACAAGUUACUGUAGGGAUAACAGCAUAAUUUUUUUAAAGAGUUCUUAUCAUCAAAAAAUUUUGUGACCUCGAUGUUGGAUUAAGAGACCUUUUUCGCGCAAUAGCUAAAAAAGGAAGUCUGUUCGACUUUUAAUUUCUUCCA
rnacentral:rRNA from 1 species